rnacentral:rRNA from 1 species
GACGAACGCUGGCGGCGUGCUUAACACAUGCAAGUCGAGCGGUAAGGCCCUUUCGGGGGUACACGAGCGGCGAACGGGUGAGUAACACGUGGGUGACCUGCCCUCAGCUCUGGGAUAAGCCUGGGAAACCGGGUCUAAUACCGGAUAUGACUCCAUGACGCAUGUCGUGGGGUGGAAAGCCUUGUGCGGCUGAGGAUGGGCCCGCGGCCUAUCAGCUUGUUGGUGGGGUGAUGGCCUACCAAGGCGACGACGGGUAGCCGGCCUGAGAGGGCGACCGGCCACACUGGGACUGAGACACGGCCCAGACUCCUACGGGAGGCAGCAGUGGGGAAUCUUGCGCAAUGGGCGAAAGCCUGACGCAGCGACGCCGCGUGAGGGAUGACGGCCU